UACGUAGGGCGCGAGCGUUGUCCGGAUUUAUUGGGCGUAAAGAGCUCGUAGGCGGCUUGUCGCGUCGACCGUGAAAACUUGGGGCUCAACCCCAAGCCUGCGGUCGAUACGGGCAGGCUAGAGUUCGGUAGGGGAGAAUGGAAUUCCUGGUGUAGCGGUGAAAUGCGCAGAUAUCAGGAGGAACACCGAUGGCGAAGGCAGGUCUCUGGGCCGAUACUGACGCUGAGGAGCGAAAGCGUGGGGAGCGAACAGG
rnacentral:rRNA from 1 species